AGGACGAACGCUGGCGGCGUGCCUAACACAUGCAAGUCGAGCGAGGAGAUCCUUCGGGAUGAUCCUAGCGGCGGACGGGUGAGUAACACGUGGGCAACCUGCCUCAUAGAGAGGAAUAGCCUUCCGAAAGGGAGAUUAAUACCUCAUAACAUUGCAGUUUCGCAUGGAACAGCAAUUAAAGGAGUAAUCCGCUAUGAGAUGGGCCCGCGGCGCAUUCGCUAGUUGGUGAGGUAACGGCUCACCAAGGCGACGAUGCGUAGCCGACCUGAGAGGGUGAUCGGCCACAUUGGGACUGAGACACGGCCCAGACUCCUACGGGAGGCAGCAGUGGGGAAUAUUGCACAAUGGGGGAAACCCUGAUGCAAGCAACGCCGCGUGAGUGAUGACGGCCUUCGGGUUGUAAAGCUCUGUCUUCAGGGACGAUAAUGACGGUACCUGAGGAGGAAGCCACGGCUAACUACGUGCCAGCAGCCGC
rnacentral:rRNA from 1 species